rnacentral:misc_RNA from 1 species
AGAAUAGAUAAAAAUUAGUUGGGUUACAAAAUGAAUAGAUUUUGAAACAAAAAUAGAUUUUUUAAAAAAGUCAAAUAGAACAUUUGCAGAAUGGCUAAAAGAAUUAGAAUAAUCUUAUUUAUUCAUUUAAUAUGGCCAACAAUAAUAUUUAUUCGCUGCGUAAAAAUAGGAGUAAUAUUGGAUAGAACGAACAAUCGAUUUAGUUUUGACAGAAUAGAAGAUGUAUUAGAAAUUGGACGUCUUGAGGUAAUAGACCGUUAUGGAAUACAUUUUGAUUUUAUUAAAAGAAUAUCGAACGUAUCUGAAUGUGGUAGCAAAGAAGUAAUUCUAAAAACUGCAGAAUUGUAUAAAAAACAUAAUAUAACGAUAUUUAUUGGACCUAGUUGCUCUGAUGAACUUUUUUAUACAGCUCCACUAAUAUCAGGAGCUGAUCUUCUUCAAAUUACAGCUGUAGGAUUAACUAUAGAUAGAUCUAUAGCAAAUAUAUAUGAAAAUACAAUAAGACUCUCGGGAAAUAUAAAAAUUAGCUCUUACCGUCAAUUUAUAACUAUUCUAUUAAAUAAAUACAAUUGGCAUAAAAUCAUUCUUUUAUACGAAACUACCAAUUCAGAAUUUAGAAUAAAAGCUGAAGAGAUCUUUGAAAAUCUAGAUUCGAAUGUUUCGUAUAACGUUACUCUUAUAAAGAUUAACUCUUUUGAUAAUAAUACAUUACAAGAUUUUAUGUUAAAUCUACAAACUAAAGGAAGGAUAUUUUUUCUAUUUUUCUCUUUUAAAAAUGAAGUAAAAUUUAUGAAAUUCGCUUAUAAAUCAAUGAUGACGUCAUCGUCGUAUGUGUACAUAGCUUUCCAUUCGGACGAUGAAAUUGAAGAAAUGGAUAUUUUUAACAAGGUUAAUUCUAAUGCAAAUGCUUUUAGGCAAUAUUUUUAUGUUAGAUAUCAAAAUCCAAAUAAUACUGUCUGGAAUAACUUUAAGAAGAUUGUAAGACACCAUAAACCAGAUUAUACAUUAUUUGAAAGGAAUAUUUGGCAGUUAUUAUAUUUAGAAAGUGUCCUUGUAUUAGGAUACGUUCUUGAUAGAUGCGAAGAUUGUCGUCUUUCAAAAAGAAUAAAAGGUUCAACCAUUUUGAAUUUACUAAGGGGAAGGAAGAUAUUUCUACAUGAUUUUAAUGAUAUAAAAUUUGACAAAAAUGUUGAUAAAUCGUUAGGUUUAGAAUUUAUGCAAUAUGAUGUAAUUAAGAAGAAAUAUAUUCCAUUAUUUAGUUAUAACACGAAUUUCGGAAAGCAUCAAUUUAUACCUGAUAUAAGUUGGAUAGCUGGCAGUAUACCAUUAGACGAACCUGAAUGUGGCUUUGGCAGAGAUUGCUCAUUUUCUAUUUUAGAAAAUUUUAGUAUUUACUUUAUAUUGCUGAUAGUCUUAUUGUUUUUAGUAAUACCCAUAAUUGUACGAACGAUAGUAUAUUAUAGGUUUAGGCUUGUUAGGGAAUCGGAAGAUAAUAGUUAUUUCAUAGAUUGGCUUCAAGUUCAAGCUGUUAACGAAUAUAAUGAAGAUACAAACUCAACAAAGUCUUCUUUAAACUCUUGUUCUAGAUCGCAAACUAGCAGCAAAAAAUUGGGAUACGAUUUGGACGAAGAUAAAAUUCUAUCCAUUUUCUCAACAGACUCUUUCAAACAGUCACAUACGGUUAUUUACAAGCAAAACAGAGUGUUUGUCAAACGCUUAGAAAACAUUGGUAUUACAUUUUCGAAAACUGUACAAGAAGAUCUUAAGGCUAGACGUCAGAUUGAUCAUAAUAACUUGAUCGAAUUUAUUUCAAUAUCGAUUCUAUCCAAUUAUGUGUUUCUUUUCGAAGAAUUUUGCUCAAGGGGUAACCUUCAAAAUCUUAUUUUGUCACAUGAUUUUGCCUUAGAGCAAUCAUUAAGAUAUGAACUAAUGAAAGAUAUUACUAAUGGCAUGAUUUAUUUGCAUAAAAGUCCAAUCAAAAUACACGGCUUUUUAACAUCAAAGAGUUGUGUAAUAAAUAGUAGAAUGAUAUUAAAAAUAACAGAUUUUGGUCUCAAUAGUCUGAGAGAAAUUGACGGUUACGAUCCACAUCCGUCAACGUUAUUAUGGACUGCACCAGAAGUCCUACGAGAACAUUCUGCAAUUAGUCAAGCGGCGGACGUAUAUAGUUUUGGUAUAAUUUUACAAGAACUAAUUUCGCAAAGUAAACCCUUUUACGAGCAAUUCCCUCCUGAGACAAUUGUUGAAUUAGUAAAAAGUUCUUCAGAGGUUUCAUAUAGACCAAAAUGUGCGGUCAUAUGUCCUCAAGAUUUGUUUACUCUAAUGACUAAUUGUUGGAAUGAAGAUUACGAUAUCAGACCCAAUUUUCAGGUAGCUAAGGAUAUUUUAAAUAGUAUAGAGAUAUCGAAAAAGACGUAUAUCGAUAAUCUUAUGGCCAGAUUGCAAAUGUAUGCAAAAAAUUUAGAAAUAUUAGUGGAAGAGAGAAUGGAAGAGGUUAAAGGAGAGAAAGAUAGAUCAGAUGAAAUUUUGCAUAUGAUGCUGCCUAAAUCGAUUGCUAGAGAUUUGAAAAAUGGUAAAAGAGUCCGUCCAGCAAAGUACGAUUGCGUUACAAUAUUAUUUAGCGAUAUUGUUGGUUUUACUGAAUUAUGUGCGAAAUCAACACCAUUCGAUGUUUUAGAAUUUCUUAAUUCAUUAUAUGAAUCAUUUGAUGCUAUAUUAGAUCAGAGAGACGUUUUUAAAGUAGCAACAAUCGGAGACGCCUUUAUGGUUGCUUCAGGUCUACCUAUUCGAAACGGCAGUACGCACGCAAUUGAAAUUGCUUAUACGGCUUUACUCUUUAUCUCUUCAACGAAAGGGAUUAAUUAAAGAAUUGCUAAACGCCAAUAAUAAUUGACAUUUGAGAGGUUAUUUUCUUUAAUUAAUUCCUCGAAUUCUUUUUAUAUUUUGAAAAGGAUUUAAAUUAAAUCAUAUGCCCGAUUACAAACUCCUCGUCAGAAUUGGUAUUCAUUCAGGACCAUGCGUUGCUGGCGUUGUUGGCCAGAUAAUGCCUAGAUAUUGCGUUUUCGGAGAAACUGUAAACAUUGCCAAUGAAAUGGAGAGCUUGAGUAAACCAAUGAAAAUUCAAUUAAGCGAGAAUACUGAAUCAUUUUUGCGUAAUCGUCAAGAGUUUGUCCUCAUUCCGAGAGGAAAAAUACAAUUAAAAAAGAAAAAAGCCCAAAUAAAUACGUUUUUUCUAGAAAAUGCCGCCUCACCAAAACAGUCACUACCUUGCUAAAAUGCAAAUGAAAAAGAUACAAUCUAUGCGAAGCAUUUAACUUAAUUAUAGAUGAAUAUUUAUACUGUUUAAAUUAGUUAAUUACAAUAAGAUAAUUACUAUUAUAUUUGAAUUAUUUGAAUAUUUAAUGAAACAUUUACCUUCAAGUAUAUAUUUACAUCAAGUUAUAUAUAAAUGGUUUCUAUAAUUUUCUAAUAUUUCAUUAUUAACGAGAUACGAUAGAAAACAAGUAAAAAAACUGAUAGGAGAAAUAGAAAGGAAUAACAGAGGGGUAAAGGAGACUUGGAGAGGAGGGAAAAAGCUUACAUUCGAGUAUUUUUACACAACAAAUGUAAUAGAAAUGGAGGAAAACGGUUUUUCUUUUAUACUUAAAAAUGAAAAAUGAUUAGAAUGAAUAGCUUUUCAUAGAUUUGCCAUUCAAAAAUGAGUUAUGUCUUACAAGUGUUAUACUGUUUGUAAGGAAAAAAUAUAGGAAAGGAAUGCUUGCAAAUCUUUUCAUUUCUCUUGAUUUCUCAUGCUCCUUCUGUUUUCUUUAUUCUUUUCUCUUUUUGUAGUUUUUUAUUAAUGUUUCUUUUUUUUUCUAUUGAAAAGAUUCCUGUAAUGAAGUAAGGGCGUUUGGCGGUGUUGAUAUUCUAUUUAUAUCGUUCCUCUUCCUACGUUCAAACAUUUUUUUAAUUGCUUUUCGAAAAGCGGGAAAUUUUGCUGCGAAGAGGAAAGGAUUGAGACUAGAAUUGAAGACGAACAGGUUCUGGAAUGCCCUUGACACCCAAGGUGGAACGUCGUUCAGUUGAGGAUCUAUUAAAUAGUGAAGAUUUAAAGGUAACCAACAAAUGAGAAAAGCCAAGAAGAGGAGAGAUAGACGUUGACAAGCCUUUAUAAACCUUCUCCUGGAUGUUGAUCCGCGAUUGGCCAUUCGUACUUGAACAUUUGAAUAUAUUAUAUAAUAACAAACACCCGUUGCUACUAUAGGCAAGACGAGAAAACAAAUAGUUGUAUAUGAAGCAUAAAAAAACCAGUGGCUCUUCUUACUCUUCCAAUAUGAUGGAGUGCAAUAGGCAUAUAUCGAAUUGAAAGUAAUGUAAACAAAGCCCCCUAAUGGAGGCAAGAUUACUACGAAGAAGACGAUGAACCAAAUAAACAAUAAUAUCAAGUAGGUUAUCUUUGUGGAGGUGAUAUCUACACCGCAAAUGCUAUGUUUGUGAGACUUUGCCAAAGCGCAUCUAUUGACGGCAAUUGCAAGGUUAGUUAGAACACUUACACCGGCGUUUUGUCCCUGUAUAAGCGAUGUGACCUCGCAGCUGAAUAUCGAGAGUCUCCAAGCUCGGAAGAGGAAGGCAUGAAUUAGUAGAGGGCAAACAAUUAUACAUACAAGACCAUCAAUCACAGCCAAAUUUACUACCAAAAGGUGACAACGUUUUCGUAAGGCUGGUGUCACCACCGCCACUGCUAUUAUAACGACAUUGGUGAGUCCGCCAAUUAAACCAAUAAAGGUGAGUAUAGUUAUAACUAUCCAACGUUCCGGUUCGGAAAGUUGUUCAAUUUGUAGCGAACUGUUCAUCUGAUAGCAAUCUUUUAUUCUUUUCUCUAGUUUUCGUGCAACCCCUUAAAUUUUACUUUCAAUUCUUUUUAUUAUCCUCUAAAGCUUCUAUUCUGUAUUCAUAAAUACAAAAAAAAGCUUUUUAAUCUUUUUUGUCGAAAUUCUUAUUCCUUUGUUUUCUCCUUAAUAAGGCUUCCUCAUUUACGGAUGAUAAGAAGAAAUGUUCUUUUUUUUAACGACCUUCUUUUCCGUUUCCCUGGAUAUUAUCGAAUAUUAAUUGCGAUGUAAAUAUUAUAAAUGUCGUUAGAAAGCAAAUUUUUUAUCAAAUGCAGUAUAUAUGUAUGAUUAAUAGCAUUGUUCUAAAUUACACUUAUUUUUAACGUAGGCCUGGAUAUUUUUGCUGUGUGUAUACUGUAUAUGUAAACAAUAAAACAAUGCUUGUUUUAUUUGUAAAUAACUCUAGAUGAAAUAGGAAGAAAAUAGAAGAAAGUUAUAUAAAAAACACAGAGAAAUAUAUAAAUUUAUUAAUAUAAACGCUUAAUUUUCGGUUGCAGAAAAGUGUUUACGUUAUCUCCAUCAGUUGAAAAUGGUACUUUUGCAUUUGUUUGUAUAUUUUCCAUACAAUUACUAUAUUUUAUAUGUUUUUUUUAUUA